GGAAAAGAAAUCAACCGAGAUUCCGUUAGUAUUGGCGAAAGAACGCGGAACAGACGACUCUUGAAUGUUGUGAUAAAAAGCUCUUGAAAGAGCUACCAAAGAGGGUAAAAGUCCCGUAUUGCACUCCUUCAAGGCCACGCAAGUAGAACGCCUUGGUGUUUGAAGAACGGGGCACCACCCCCGAAGUCUAAAUAUGCUUUCGAGAUCGAUAGUGAACAAGUACUGUGAAGGAAAGGUGAAAAGAACCCAAAACACACUGGGAGUGAAAAGACCUGAACCAAAACACUGACAAUCACUCGGAGCGUGUAUAAGACACGUGACGGGGUACCAUUUGCAUAUUGGGUCAGCGAGUAAAUGAGUCAAGCGAGCUUAAGCAAUGAUGUGGAGGCGAAGCAAAAGCAAGUAGAAAACGCUGCGUUUUGUUUGUCUCAUUUGACCCGAAACCACGUGAUCUUGCCGUGAGCAGGCUGAAGAAGGCGUAACUUCCUUUGGAGGGCCGAACCGACGUCUGUAGCAAUAGACGCGGAUGACUUGCGGCAAGGGGUGAAAGGCUAAUCAAACGUGGAAAUAGCUGGUUCUUCGCGAAAUGUAUUGAGGUACAGCGUGCAG
rnacentral:rRNA from 1 species